rnacentral:lncRNA from 1 species
ACUGUUGACCCGGGGCGGGGGCAGAUGCCUCUUUAUCAUGGGCGCAGACUGGGCAGCACGUUUAGCAGCGUCCUUGGCCUCUGCCCACCGGAUUUCAGAAGUACCCAUCCCCCAGUGAUGGAAAUCAGCGCAUCUCCAGAUGUGGUCAACGUCUCUGAUGACAAAAUCGACCCUGGGUGGGAAUGAUCCUCUCUGUGUCUGGGAUUUGGAUGUGGAUAAGUUGUGUUCUUAACACCUCUAUGUGUGACAUUGAGUCUAGAGAGGCUGGCGGGAGGGCAAGGAAGGAGACGGGGCAGGUGACAUCUUGGUGGCUGGUCAUUCUCAGAAAUCAACACAAGUGGCCGGGCGCAGUGGCACACGCCUGUAACCCCAGAGGCUCAUGAGGCUGAGGCAGGAGGAUCGCGAGUUCAAAGCCAGCCUCAACAAUGGUGAGGGCUAAGCUACUCAGGGAGACCCUGUCUCUAAAUAAAAUACAAAAUAGGGCUGGGAUGUGGCUCAGAGGUUGAGUGCCCCUGAGUUCAGUCCCUGGUACCCACCCACAAAAAAAAAAAAAAACCAACACAAGUGCCUCUCCAGUGAGCACACGAGGCCAAGCGCCUCUCCAGUGAGCACACGCGGCCAAGCGCCUCUCCAGUGAGCACACGCGGCCAAGCACUCUCCAGUGAGCACACACGGCAUGCUCCAACACGCUGAGCAGAAUGACAACUCUGUUUUUUUGUUGUGAUUCAGGAGCUCUGUUUGCUCAGUGAGGACUCUAAAGACCCCUGUCCCCUGUGCCUUUGGGGAAUGUUGUCCCUGGCUCUCCAAAGUUAUUUUAAAAUAUAAAGACAUGACACAUAAGCAGUUCCCACCAAGAUCUGUUUGAUUUUAAGGAAGGUUCAUGAUUACCAAGGAAAAUAACCCACAGAAUCAGGGAACUAGACAGAUUUCAGUUCUCUUUGAUCCGAGCACAACAUCACAAAUUCUGAAAUUAACUCUUCCAUCUACAACAGCUCCACUUCCUCUUAUUUCUAUUCCUUAUUCACAUGAAUUGAAUUGCAUAAGCUCUGCUGGCAAUCACUGAAGGGCAGUUUCUGCUAAAUUGUGACCCACAUAAUCCGGAACGCCCUUGGGGACAAGGAGGGGACAUUGGCUGAUUCCUGGGUGCUUGUUUGGAUAGCAGCUCGACUGCGUGGACCUGGACUAGCUAACCCACUCACCCCUUUAUUCCAGGGUUCAGCUGGCAGUUAGGCCUGGGUCACCCCUCACUGGGGAGGGUUCCUCGCACUGUAGGACAUUUAGCACCAUCCUGGCCCUCGUCCAGUAGCGCCAGUAGACACUCCCCAGGUGACAGCAGGAGCACCUCCAGGCGCUGCAGGGCUUCCCGGCCACACCCUCUUCAGAACUGCUGCUGCCUUCUCUUCUCAUUCAUUUAUUUCCAUUAAAUCAGCAGAAAUUUCAUGCCCUCUGUGUGCCAGGCACCGACCGCGAAGGGGACACAGCGCAGCAGGCGGCGGGGUCUCUGCCCUCGUGGAGCGGACGUUUCAACCUGUUCCUCUGGAUCUGGAGCGUCCUUUUAUUCUAGAAAGCAGGAAUACUUUUAAAAUGUCACAGGCUGUUCUAGGAGGACACGGAAGCCGGUUUAGGGGACUCCCACAGGACAGGUUGUGGCAGGGACUGAAUGUGCGCCGAUGACUGCACUCAGUUUUCCACCAACAAUGGCCUUGUGCCCAAGACCUCGAGCAUCCUCCGGUGUGCGGCUUGGUGAUGGCUCUUGGGAGGUGGGGGCGUGGGGACAAACUCCAUGCUAACUAUUUGCACCCUUGAGCAGGUGCACCCCGACUCCAGAAUACUGAAGUGUGAGGAAGGACAGGAUGUCUCCGUCUUGCAGACGGGGAAACGGGAGCUCCCAGGACCAGGACCCAAGUUGAUAUUUGGUGUCUUCAGAACCUGCCAGAUUCUGGAAGAAUCUAAUAAUGCUUCAGGUGAAAAGGCACAUGAGUGGGUGAAUUCUGCUUCCUGUUUGCAGUGCAGAAAACUAAAAAAUCACCCCCACUCAGAGGAGGUGGAAGCAAGGACCAGCUUCUACCUCCCUGAGGUGCCGCCUGCCCUCAGGGCCUCGCUGCUGCUGACCCCCGCUGCGGCUUCUGAAGGUCAGUCCCGGGCCCUCUGCUCUGUUGUCUUUCCUGAGUCCCCUGUUUUAAGAGGUGGGGGACGGCAGCUGCCCCCAGGGUCUCCUCCCCUUGCCCUGAGCGCUCUGCCUGUCCAAACCACCCAACAAACACAGCGUGCACAUACAGGGUCCCAGCCCUUCCACGUGAGUGUCCACAGAGCUAAUGCUGGGUGACGGACGGGCCCCUGAGCCGCUGCGGGUGACCAGCGCUGUCCUCUCACUUGGGGCCUCAAGGUCGGGAAUUGAAGAAGCUUAGCUGGGGGCUGUGGCUCGGGUCUCAGGGGGUCGCAGUUAGGGGCUCUCCGCUGGGUUGGGGGGAGCUGUUCCAAGAUGGCAUCAUCCAAAGGCUCCGCGGUUGGCUGGAGGCCUCAGUUCCGGCCGGAUGGGCCUCUCCACGAGGCUGCUCACAGCAUGGCAGCUGGACUCCACCCAGGCGCACAAGGGACAGAGCCACAGAGAGAGACUGAGAAAGAAGCUGCCGUGAUGACCCGCCUCCCUGCAUGUCUCUUCUGCUGUCCCUGUCAGCCAUUCUCAACGCCUGUCUUUGGUUCUUUGGGCCCGUGUCUUUGGAAAACUCUGAGCUGUGGCUAAUAGAUAGGUUCAGAGGUCCAGCGGGGUCAGGGAGUGCCUGGAAGCCCCGACCUGGCCUGUGCCCGGGGGGACCCGCAGUGCCGCGUCUUCUGCAGCCUGCGCUGGAGGCGGGGACCCACCCUCGGGGCCCAGCCUGGGCUGAGCCCCCAGAGCCGGCUGCGCUGACCCUGGGCAUUCUGAUGCCGAGCAGACCUGCCCCGGCCGUCGGGAUGUCUCUUUAAAAAGAAAUAAAGAACAGAAACAAGAGGGGAAAACUGUGGGCACCAGAGGGAAGUCUGCUCUUUCAGUCACUUCCACACACAGACCUGUGCUGUGUGACCUUUGAACAGAAACAGCACACAGCCCUCGGCUCCUCCUGGACGUCCUGACAGCCCGGAACCCGCCCUUGUGGGCACAGGCAGGGAGCAGGGCACGGCUGGGCGGCGGGAGGAGAAGCAGACCCGCCAGGUGACUGGGUCCCCUCCUUGCAGCAGACAAAGCACCUGAGCGUGAGUGGGCGUCUGCGCCCGAGAAAUGAAUAGCAGCCGGGGCCCAUUUUUACCAGCGGGGAAACAUGGGUCUAAGAAAAGACUUCCAGGAAGGGCAUCAGCUGCCGUGUCUGCCUUCCCUUCUCAAAAGCCUCCACAACUGAGUCCAACAGCGAGUCGAGUGGCCUCGGCCACACCACAGGUGACCGCACGUGACCGCGGGUUGGGCAUGGCCUGGGUAUUUUAUCUCCCAAGAGGGUCAGACAGACAUAGGUGGCAAAUGUCACCCUCCCAUUUCACAGAGGGGUGACCCGAGGCGUAAAGAGCUUCCUACCCUGUGUGGGGCUGAGGCCAGCAGCAGUGGAGCGGGCACUGGACCCACCUCAGGAACCUCAGCGCACCAGCUGCCCAGGACGGGGGGGUGGGUAUUUGUGCCCCAUGGGGGGGUCUUUUCUCUCUCUCUCUUUCCUUUUUGCAGAGGAACUGUGAGCCCAGAAGAAAGGGAAUUUUCCUCAUUUAUCUCGUUGUCAUGACCAGUUGCUCAAUUGGGGAUUUUUAGGUCUGAAUUUUUUGUUUUCCACCACUUAUGGGCCACCGAGGCACCAGGAUACCUGCCCCUACCCCCGGGGGCUUGGUCUGCUCCUUGCCUCAAGGCAAAGCCAAGGCCACUUCUGAUUCUUUCUCUUUUUAUUUUUUUAGUUCAAAUUUACAUAAAAGUACAGAGAACAGAGCCUGACGUUCCACUGCCCAGGCUGGGUCAUUAUCAGGGGGUGACGCCUCUCACCCCAUUCCGUCCCCCGCCCCUGCUUCUCCAUCAUUCCAGACCCCACCCGCCUCUCAGCCGCCGCUCUUACCAGCAGAGUAGACUGGAAGGGACGAUGACGCAUGUGUCCCUGAGACUCGUGCCACACUGAACGGCAGAGUGCUCCCGAGGGCCUCGAGGGGACGGAACUGAAAACAGAGUGAGGAGUUCAAGAUGGAGAAAAUCCAGAGUGCAGUUUUCCAAGUGAUUAAAAAAUAAAGGACAACUCUAAACGCUAUCUGUGAGGUCAUCGCCACUGAAAUCAGGAUGACCCAGCCCCAGAUCAAAUCUGCUGUAGAAGCUGCUGGAAGACAGUGUCCGAGCCUCCGCGUGAACGUCCCUGGGGCUUUCCCCAAGGUUUCAGUUCAUUGGAAUAAAUGCUGACGUGCCCCGACCCGG